AUAUCAAUAAGCGGAGGAAAAGAAACCAACAGGGAUUGCCCUAGUAACGGCGAGUGAAGCGGCAACAGCUCAAAUUUGAAAUCUGGCGCAAGCCCGAGUUGUAAUUUGUAGAGGAUGCUUCUAGGUAGCGACCGGUCUAAGUUCCUUGGAACAGGACGUCAUAGAGGGUGAGAAUCCCGUAUGUGACCGGCCCGCACCUUCUACGUAGCUCCUUCGACGAGUCGAGUUGUUUGGGAAUGCAGCUCUAAAUGGGAGGUAAAUUUCUUCUAAAGCUAAAUACCGGCCAGAGACCGAUAGCGCACAAGUAGAGUGAUCGAAAGAUGAAAAGCACUUUGGAAAGAGAGUUAAAAAGCACGUGAAAUUGUUGAAAGGGAAGCGCUUACAACCAGACUUCUGGGCGGUGUUCCGCCGGUCUUCUGACCGGUCUACUCGCCGUCCCGAGGCCAACAUCAUCUGGGACCGCCGGAUAAGACCUCAGGAAUGUAGCUCCCCUCGGGGAGUGUUAUAGCCUGUGGUGAUGCGGCGCGUCUCGGGUGAGGUCCGCGCUUCGGCAAGGAUGUUGGCGUAAUGGUUGUCAGCGGCCCGUCUUGAAACACGGACCAAGGAGUCUAACAUCUAUGCGAGUGUUCGGGUGUCAAACCCCUACGCGUAAUGAAAGUGAACGGAGGUGGGAAGGGUAACCUGCACCAUCGACCGAUCCUGAUGUCCUCGGAUGGAUUUGAGUAAGAGCAUAGCUGUUGGGACCCGAAAGAUGGUGAACUAUGCCUGAAUAGGGUGAAGCCAGAGGAAACUCUGGUGGAGGCUCGCAGCGGUUCUGACGUGCAAAUCGAUCGUCAAAUUUGGGUAUAGGGGCGAAAGACUAAUCGAACCAU
rnacentral:rRNA from 1 species